UAGGGAAUCUUCCGCAAUGGACGCAAGUCUGACGGAGCAACGCCGCGUGAGUGAAGAAGGAUUUCGGUUCGUAAAACUCUGUUGUUAGAGAAGAACAGCGCAUAGAGUAACUGUUAUGCGUGUGACGGUAUCUAACCAGAAAGCCACGGCUAACUACGUGCCAGCAGCCGCGGUAAUACGUAGGUGGCAAGCGUUGUCCGGAUUUAUUGGGCGUAAAGCGAGCGCAGGCGGUCAAUUAAGUCUGAUGUGAAAGCCCCCGGCUCAACCGGGGAGGGUCAUUUGAGACUGGUUGACUUGAGUGCAGAAGGGGAGAGUGGAAUUCCAUGGGUAGCGGGGAAAUGCGUAGAUAUAUGGAGGAACACCAGUGGCGAAGGCGAGUCUCUGGUCUGUAACUGACGCUGAGGCUCGAAAGCGUGGGUAGCAAACAGG
rnacentral:rRNA from 1 species